rnacentral:RNase_MRP_RNA from 15 species
UUCGCAUCGCACAAACGGGGAGCUUUCUCCCACCACUGCUGCGGGGAAAGUCUCCGUGCCUCAGGGCAGCGAGUGCCGGCGGGAGACCGCAGGGCCUCGGCCAGGGCGCGGGCGGUGAGGCUGUGGGCUGAGCCGCAGUGUCCGGCUUGGGUUCGUUGCACAAGCACAGCAAUGUCGUGAGUGUUCGCUUGAGGACACCAACUGAACGGGGCUCACUCUC